rnacentral:rRNA from 1 species
UGUUUCGGCUAGGGGGCCAUCCCGGCUUACCAACCCGAUGCAAACUGCGAAUACCGGAGAAUGUUAUCACGGGAGACACACGGCGGGUGCUAACGUCCGUCGUGAAGAGGGAAACAACCCAGACCGCCAGCUAAGGUCCCAAAGUCAUGGUUAAGUGGGAAACGAUGUGGGAAGGCCCAGACAGCCAGGAUGUUGGCUUAGAAGCAGCCAUCAUUUAAAGAAAGCGUAAUAGCUCACUGGUCGAGUCGGCCUGCGCGGAAGAUGUAACGGGGCUAAACCAUGCACCGAAGCUGCGGCAGCGACGCUUAUGCGUUGUUGGGUAGGGGAGCGUUCUGUAAGCCGUUGAAGGUGUGCUGUGAGGCAUGCUGGAGGUAUCAGAAGUGCGAAUGCUGACAUAAGUAACGAUAAAGCGGGUGAAAAGCCCGCUCGCCGGAAGACCAAGGGUUCCUGUCCAACGUUAAUCGGGGCAGGGUGAGUCGACCCCUAAGGCGAGGCCGAAAGGCGUAGUCGAUGGGAAACAGGUUAAUAUUCCUGUACUUGGUGUUACUGCGAAGGGGGGACGGAGAAGGCUAUGUCGGCCGGGCGACGGUUGUCCCGGUUUAAGCGUGUAGGUGUGUGCUCCAGGCAAAUCCGGUGCACUUUAACACUGAGGCGUGAUGACGAGGCACUACGGUGCUGAAGUGACAAAUGCCCUGCUUCCAGGAAAAGCCUCUAAGCAUCAGGUAACAUCAAAUCGUACCCCAAACCGACACAGGUGGUCAGGUAGAGAAUACCAAGGCGCUUGAGAGAACUCGGGUGAAGGAACUAGGCAAAAUGGUGCCGUAACUUCGGGAGAAGGCACGCUGAUAUGUAGGUGAAGUGGUUUAC